rnacentral:rRNA from 1 species
AGGACGAACGCUGGCGGCGUGCUUAACACAUGCAAGUCGAGCGGAAAGGCCCUUCGGGGUACUCGAGCGGCGAACGGGUGAGUAACACGUGGGCAACCUGCCCCUAGCUCUGGGAUAACUCCGGGAAACCGGUGCUAAAUACCGGAUACGACCUCAUUGGGCAUUCUUUGAGGUGGAAAGAUUUAUUGGCUAGGGAUGGGCCCGCGGCCUAUCAGCUUGUUGGUGGGGUAACGGCCUACCAAGGCGACGACGGGUAG